rnacentral:rRNA from 1 species
UACAGAGGGUGCAAGCGUUAAUCGGAAUUACUGGGCGUAAAGCGUGCGCAGGCGGUUUUGUAAGUCUGUCGUGAAAUCCCCGGGCUCAACCUGGGAAUUGCGAUGGAGACUGCAAGGCUAGAAUCUGGCAGAGGGGGGUAGAAUUCCACGUGUAGCAGUGAAAUGCGUAGAGAUGUGGAGGAACACCGAUGGCGAAGGCAGCCCCCUGGGCUAACACUGACGCUCAUGCACGAAAGCGUGGGGAGCAAACAGG